CCGCCAGAGAAUUACAAGUGAAAAACUUAAAACUCAAAGGACUUGACGGUGUCCCAUAUCGACCUAGAGGAGCCUGUCCUAUAAUCGAUACUCCACGUUUCACCCAACCCCAACUAGCACAAUAUCAGCCUAUAUACCGCCGUCGACAGCCUACCCUAUGAAGGUCUAACAGUAGACAUAACAGCCCUACCGCUAGUACGUCAGGUCAAGGUGUAGCAAAUGUUGGGGAAGAGAUUGGCUACAUUUUUUAUAAUAAAAAACACGAAAAGUACUAUGAAACUGUACAUGAAGGUGAAUUUAGUAGUAAAAU
rnacentral:rRNA from 1 species